UACGAAGGGGCUAGCGUUGCUCGGAAUCACUGGGCGUAAAGCGCACGUAGGCGGAUCGUUAAGUCAGGGGUGAAUCCUGGAGCUCAACCCGGACUGCCUUUGAUACUGGGUAUCUGGAGGUCGGAGAGAGGCGAGUGGAAAUUCCGAGUGUAGAGGUGAAAUUCGUAGAUAUUCGGAGGAACACCAGUGGCGAAGGCGGCUCGGCUGGCUCGAGUACUGACGCUGAGGUGCGAAAGCGUGGGGAGCAAACAGG
rnacentral:rRNA from 1 species